GAUGAAGAACGUAGCGAAAUGCGAUAAGUAAUGCGAAUUGCAGAAUUUCCGUGAGUCAUCGAAUCUUUGAACGCACAUUGCGCCCGCUAGUAUUCUGGCGGGCAUGCCUGUCCGAGCGUCAUUUCAACCCUCAAGCCCCCGGGCUUGGUGUUGGGGAUCGGCGAGCCUCCGCGCCCGCCGUCCCCUAAAUCUAGUGGCGGUCUCGCUGUAGCUUCCUCUGCGUAGUAGCACACCUCGCACUGGGAAACAGCGCGGCCACGCCGUUAAACCCCCAACUUCUGAACGUUUGACCUCGGAUCAGGUAGGAAUACCCGCUGAACUUAAGCAUAUCAAUAAGCGGAGGA
rnacentral:misc_RNA from 1 species